AGAAUCAACGCUGGCGGCGUGCCUAACACAUGCAAGUCGAACGAGAAAGUGGAGCAAUCCAUGAGUACAGUGGCGACCGGGUGAGUAACACGUGACUAACCUACCCUCGAGUGGGGAAUAACUCCGGGAAACCGGAGCUAAUACCGCAUAACAUCGCAAGAUCAAAAGCCGAAAGGCGCUUGAGGAGGGGGUCGCGGCUGAUUAGCUAGUUGGCGGGGUAAUGGCCCACCAAGGCUUAGAUCGGUA
rnacentral:rRNA from 1 species